AAUCAACGCUGGCGGCGUGCCUCAGACAUGCAAGUCGAACGCGAAAGGCUCCUUCGGGGGCCGAGUAGAGUGGCGCACGGGUGAGUAACACGUAGGUAAUUUGCCUUUGGGUGGGGAAUAACUCAGGGAAACUUGAGCUAAUACCGCAUAAUGCAGCGGCUCGACAUCGAGACAGUUGUUAAAGCGGGGGAUCGCAAGACCUCGCGCCUGAAGAGAAGCCUGCGGCAGAUUAGCUAGUUGGUAGGGUAAUGGCCUACCAAGGCGACGAUCUGUAACCGGCCUGAGAGGGCGGUCGGGUCACACUGACACUGACAUACGGGUCAGACUCCUACGGGAGGCAGCAGUCGGGAA
rnacentral:rRNA from 1 species